rnacentral:lncRNA from 1 species
GCAAAGGGACGAAGUCAUACCUGCUUCUGGAGACGAUGAAGAAGGCUGCGAUGCUGGUGGCUGCUGCUCUCGUUCGACUGCUUUCUCUGCUCUCCCCGCUGUGCUCACUGUCUUCCUUUUUCUUUUCUUUUUUUGCUUCCCUGGUCUGCUGGAAUUGAUGGACACGAUGACGAAGCUAUGGCUGACCGGCACUGCCUGCUCUCCUCUGCUCCUUCUUCUGCUUUCCUUUACUUUCUCUUCAGGUUCUGGAAACGCUGAAGGCAGUGGCAGCGAUCUCGUGACUUUCCUCUGCUUGUGUGUUUGGUCUGUGUGUCUCCUGGGUUUUCCAGUCGAGAGGAUGAUGAAGAGGUCGGCCUGAUGGGAACUUGUUUUUGAUUUAGGGUUUUCGUUGUUUGCAGGGACGAAGGCAAUGAGGGCCAAUACUCGUCUCUCUGUUUUGCUGUUCUCUAUGUCUCUGUGUAUUUGUUUCUGCGCCUCUCUGUUUUUUUUUAGUGCUGUGAAUUGCCUCCCCUCUGUAUUUCUACUCUGUUUGUUUUAGCUCUGGAUUUUUUUGCCUUGAUUUCUUGCUCUGGUUUCUGUAUUUGUGGGUUGGGUCCUCCCUCCUCUGUUGCUGCCGUUUGCUCCUCUCUUAUAGAGCUCCCCCUUCCCAGUCUUUGCAGGACUCUUCGGUAAUCCACGAACGAGAUCGUGGGCAUGAGGUGGUGCAGUGGCCUUGAGUUGCUGGAUUUUCCUUGUUCAAGCUGCCGGAUUUUUCUCUGUUGAAUCGGUCUGGUCCGUGCGAAACGGAAGGGACGAAGAACGCAGUCUUCCAACGGCGCCGUUUGUGUGCUUGAGGCAAUUUUCACUUUGGUCCCUGGACGUUUUAAACUUUACAAUUGAGAUCUUAAUCAUGUAUAAUUGAUUUUUUUAAUUAUGCCCUUGGAUUAAAUUCAAUUGAAUCCCUGAGUUAUAGCACCAUUUACACAACAGUCCUGAGUUUCUGGACUAUUCAAUUUGAUCCUUGGACUUUAAUUUUCUAUCAAUUUUUUCUUGAAUCAGCUCCAAACUUUGGUAUUUUUUCCAUUACACCCCUGAUUCCUUUAAUUAAUUAAAUCAAAGUUUAAUUAAGUCCUUAACCUCAUUAAUUCUUCAAUUAAACUCUUGAUUUCAUUAAUUAAAAUAAUCUAAAUUUAAAUCAAUUCUCUAAUUAAGCCCUUGAUUUAAUUAAUUAAACUAGUUAAGAGUUUAAUUAAAUCUUUAACCUUCCAAUCAUGCUGCCCUUAACCCAAAUUUAAUUCAUUCUUCAUUUAUUUUAUUUUCAUUUUUUUCAUCAUCAUUUUUUUAGAAAAUAAAAAUAAAAGGUCAAAAAUUGGGUUAUGACAGUUGCCCCCUCUUUAUAAUUUUGACUAUACAAAGAUAUUAGAAAAUUUUGUUUUCUUUUAGCUUUGUGUAGUAAAUUUAUAAAGAAAAGUAGAUAUAGAAAGAACUUUUGUUUUGUUUUUUUUUUUUUUUUUAGUCUUGAAAACUUUGAAAACAAUAGAUUGACACAUAACAUUUACAGAGAGAUGUAGAAAUCAAGAAACAAGUCAUUUGGGAGAUAACCCUUUUUUUUUUGUGAUGGUAUAUUGUAAUGGGUUACCUACGCAGUGGAAAAAUACAAAGAUUUUUUUUUUUAAUAAGACGAGGGCUCGAAGGCGCGCUCGAAUGUAAGACGAGGGCUCGAAGGCGCGCUCGAAUGGAGGUAGGAUAGAAAAUGCACUACCUUUGAUGGUCGAGGGCUCGAAGGCGCGCUCAAAAAUAAAUAAGACGAGGGCUCAAAGGCACGCUCGAAUGUAAGACGAGGGCUCGAAGGCGCGCUCGAAUGGAGGUAGGAUAGAAAAUGCACUACCUUUGAUGGUCGAGGGCUCGAAGGCGCGCUCGAAAAUAAAUAAGACAAGGGCUCAAAGGCGCGCUCGAAUGUAAGACGAGGGCUCGAAGGCGCGCUCGAAUGGAGGUAGGAUAGAAAAUACACUACCUUUGAUGGUCGAGGGCUCGAAGGCGCGCUCGAAUGGAUAAGACGAGGGCUCGAAGGCGCGCUCGAAUGGAGGUAGGAUAGAAAAUGCACUACCUUUGAUGGUCGAGGGCUCGAAGGAGCGCUCGAAAAUAAAUAAGACGAGGGCUCAAAGGCACGCUCGAAUGUAAGACGAGGGCUCGAAGGCGCGCUCGAAUAGAUAAGACGAGGGCUCGAAGGCGCGCUCGAAUGGAGGUAGGAUAGAAAAUGCACUACCUUUGAUGGUCGAGGGCUCGAAAGCGCGCUCGAAUGGAUAAGACGAGGGCUCAAAGGCGCGCUCGAAUGUAAGACGAGGGCUCGAAGGCGCGCUCGAAUGGAUAAGACGAGGGCUCGAAGGCGCACUCGAAUGGAGGUAGGAUAGAAAAUGCACUACCUUUGAUGGUCGAGGGCUCGAAGGCGCGCUCGAAAAUAAAUAAGACGAGGGCUCGAAGGCGCGCUCGAAUGUAAGACGAGGGCUCGAAGGCGCGCUCGAAUGUAAGACGAGGGCUCGAAGGCGCGCUCGAAUGGAUAAGACGAGGGCUCGAAGGCGCGCUCGAAUGGAGGUAGGAUAGAAAAUGCACUACCUUUGAUGGUCGAAACUGAAAGGUGGUGGAAAAAUACAGAGAUUUUUCUGGUGGCCUAAUUCUCAUGGGCGGCCUGCCCAGGUUGAAAAAUUCUCAAAAUGAAAAUUUUCAAAAGCAAUUUCUUUGGCCAUUUCAAGUUGGCCUUCCACUUGAUGGAUUCGUUGGAAUUUUCUCUAUAAAUUUGCAAAACUCAUUGUCCAAUGUCUCAAAGUUUAAAUGAUAUGCAUGCAUCUUUACCUGAUUUGAAAUAUAGGCCCCCAUUUCUUCUUAAUCUUCUGUUGCUUGGUUGGUGAGAUCUUGCUAUCUGAUUUGAGUCAUCUUUGUCGUUUAGCUUUCUAGCCCACUCGAGUUGGCCCAUGUAAGUUUAUUUCCAGAUUUGUUUACACAACUCAGCUUUUGUGGUGCCCAUCGUGACCCACUUGCUUGCUAGAGAUUUUCUGAUUCGUCAAAUAAUUUGAGAGGAUUAUUCAUUACCCCUCGUCUCACUGCUAAAAACAUUCGGUAUCACUUGCUGAAAGGAUCGAGCUGUCUUUUGUAAACCAAAAUGCCCCCUUGUCUGGUUGAAGGAAAUUACCAUCUCCUUUUCUAGAAUCUUUCCUUCUAAACACAAUGUUGCCCCUUGUAUUGGUUAUUGCCCCUAAGUGUGCUUCUGUUAGCGACUUAGAUAAAUAAAGGUUUUAAGAGGUCAUUCUCUCAUUUCUCUCACUUUUCAGUUUGGUGGAGGAAUAUGGGUCUAGAAUGAAUCUUGAAAUCUUGAUCUUGCAUUUUGAAAACAAAAAUUAUUUCGAUGUGAGUCAAAUAACAAUUUGCUUUUGAAAUCUUGCAACUCCUUGGUUAUUUUCUUUCUGGGAAAAGAGAUUAUUUGCUCUUGUGUUUGGUAAUGAGGUCUUCGGUGAAAAUAUAUCAUGAGAUGACCUUUUGUUUCGAAGUGAAGGGCUCGAGAAAAAGCUCGAGGUUUUGUAUGAGAAAAACUUGUCUCUUUUUGAACAUUUAUUUUUAUCAGCAUGAAUAAUAAUGAGUAGUUUAUUCUUGAUGUCAUGAAUCUUAUGAAAAAGUAUUCUUUGCAUUUUGAGAGCAUUGUUUAUUGUUCUAGAUUGCUUGCUUGCUUGAUUAGAAAGGACUUCUACAGGCACGUAACGUAGGCUGUGGUUUUUGGCUAUGAAAGAAAAGGAUUCAUAAGGCUCAAAGAGUGUUUCAGGGUUUCAAAGACUGAAGAUCACGAUCAAUAGUUUGACUUUUGAUGUCAUUCAUAUUUUCCUUUGCCGCUCUUCUUUGAUUUGCCCCUUUUUUCUUUUUCAUUGCUUCGCUAGAGCAUACUCACUUUAUCUUGGUUAUCACUUUUUCUUGUGAUUUGGGCAUGCCCCCUAGUAUUUGAGUUUCUUGGGCUCUUUUGCCUUUUGGCUUUCUCACGGCUUUAUCCUCUUUCUUGAUCAUUGAAAUUUCACUUGCCCCUUUUUUUGUGAUGUGGGCAUGAUCCCUAGCAUUUGAGUUUCUUGGGCUCUUUUGCCUUUUGGCUUUCUCACGGCUUUAUCAUCCUUCUUGAUCAUUGAAAUUUCACUUGCCCUAGUGUAGGGUGUGAUCUUAGUCGGGAUUUUUUAUGAAAGAAAAAAAAUUAUUCAGGCUCAAAAACGGUUUGCAAGGGAUGUACUUAUUUUAGAACGUGAAAGGAAUAACAAAGAUGGCCUUUCCUCAUUUCAAGCGCAAGUAGCUAUGAUCAAUAAACUUUGACCUCGUAUAGUGUGAUGGUUUAUUCUUUGCAAAGAUGCAUUUCAUGAGUUAUGAGCAACAAGUUCACUACAUACCAUUAUUCAUACAUUUAAAAACACAUGAUUCAAGAGUAAUGGGGUAAGGUUGUUUAUUCUUUUUUUUCACAAUUGUUUUUUAAUUUAGUCACCUCAAUGAUGGAGUUGCUUGAUUCACUUGUCAUUCUACAAGUAGAAUGUCAAAAAUAUGUUUUUGAAUAAACAUCAAAUUAUUUUUUGAAAUCAAAAUGCCAGAUCAAUUUUUUUCAAAACUCCAAUAGGGAAACUGAUUUUUGGUAAAAGAGAUGAAUUGCGUCUAUGAGAUCGCACAAGGCUUCAAAGAUGUGUUUGUGAAUCUUUAUAAGAAAACUCUCUCAGAAAAAAUGAAUAAUGCUAAUCGUAAACACGAUUGAAUGACAAACUCAUUAUUUUCAUUGAAACUUUAGAAAAUAAGUUCAACAAGAAAGAACUUAUGACAACAUCUUGGGCUAUGAAUACUGGCAUGAUAACAUAUAAAGGGGCUAAACAUUUAGCGAUCAUUGAUUGGAAUUUCUGGAAUCUUUCAAUCAUUCAUUCUCCUCGACAAGGGCAUCUUUUCAAACAGUUAGUUGAAGUCAUUUGUAAGAACAGUAAGUGCCUUGGCAACCCCUUUCAGUGUCCUUUCCCUUUUCAGUGAAACUGUUCUUUUUCAGACGGAUCAUCAAUUUUACCUAACCUAAUGGCUUGUUCAAUCCUCUCAGCUAUAAAAACCAGGUCAGUAAAAUGUUGUGCAGAGCUUCUAACCAAGUAUUCAAAGUAUGGAGCUUUAAAGGUGUUGGAAAAUAAACUGAUCAUUUCUUUUUUCCAACACGGGAGGGUUAACUUGUGCAGCUACCUCACUCCAUCUUCGGGCGUAUUCUCUUAUGGACUCUUUGCUAUCUUUCUCCAUAGCUUGCAAGCUUAACCGAUCAGGGCCCACAUCUAUAUUGAACUUAUAUUGCCUCAUGAAGGCAUCAACUAAAUCCUUCCAUUUUUUAACCUUGGUAUUGUCUAACCGUAUAUACCAAGUGAGGGCACCAUUACUUAGACUGUCUUGAAAGAAAUGAAUCAGCAGUUUCUCAUCAUCAACCACCUCAGCCAUUUUGUUGCAGUAUGCUUUGAGAUGAGUUAUAGGGCAUUGAGUUCCCGUAUAUUUGAUAAAUUCUAGCACUCUAAAAUUUUUAGGAAUGACAACAUUGGGCACCAAACACAUCUCAGCAGCCUUUAUAGGAUCAUAUAAGUGAAUUCCCUCAAAUGCCCUCAUCCUUUGUUCUAGGGCAAUGAAUUUAUUCAGCUCAUCUUCUUUUACAUUUUGCCCUUUUGAAUUCAUUCUCUGUAGAAUCAAUGGUAAACGACAUUCUGUGGGGUAUGCUGGUUGAAAAUGCGUGGCUUGUCGAAAAUAGAUGACAACCCAUUUUGCCCCCAGAUUCUAUGGAUUGAAGGAAUUUACAAGCAUAGGUUCAGGCUGAGCUAUAAAUGUUGUUUUUCCAGAUUUAUCCUUAAGGCCUGCUCGAGUAGACUAGUAAGCCUUGCGACUUCUUCUUUAAGAUUGUCCACCUCUUUUUGAUGUUGGGCUUCCAACUAGGCUCUUUCUUCAUCUUCCAUUUGUCUUUUUCUCGAAUGGGUUUCAAUAGGGAACCUAUAUUUCAACCUGCUAUAUGUAAAUCAUGCAAUUAAGCAAAAAUAUUGAUUUAAUUAAAAAUGCAUAUGGAAUGCAGACACGUCCUUCACCAGAUGACAACCUAAUAGGAAGAUCCUAAUUGUUGAGUGCAUCAAAGGGUUGGUCAUUAUCUAGUUUCAAAGGGUCUCUCGCAUGCUCAGUGAUCGUCCAUGAAAGGUCGAUAUGAGGCUUACAAGUAGUGUGAAAAUAGAGGCCCUGAGUAAUAUCAGUUUGGCAUAUCAACCACUUCCAAGUAAACAAUCAAGCGAGAGUUGGAUGGUUUCACGAGUCUUACCCAGGCUAAAGCCAUUGGGGUACCGUUACUUUCCCACUUAUCCUAGAUUUUCAGGUGUGUGCUCUCAACGUGAUGCAUGACAAUAUAAACAUGGAUGCAUGCUAAAGCAGUAAAUUCAAGAAAAAUAAACAAAUAAACAUAACAUAAAAAACAUUAUAACAAUUGAUAAACAAAAUGCAAAGCUUAGUCCAUUGGUCCCCAGUGGAGUUGUCAUUCUGUCGCACCCGACAUCGCGGCGGCCCUAAAAUUUUUUUAAUUAUUUUCUUUGGAAAGAACAGAUUUCUGGCAUCCUGUUCUUUAAUGUGGAUAUUGUUGUUUAAGGAGUCCCCACCUAGUAUUAUGGUCACUAGGAACCCUAACUGGUCAACAGAGAUUCUAUGGUUCGGGACUGGUUACGUAAAAGGGAAGAUAUUAUCACCCCUUAAACGUCCUGCCUGAGGCAGGCUGCAUUGCUGGUUUCGUCUUAAAUUGCUAAAUGUUUUAUUAAUUUACGUUAUGAAAAUUUGCUUAUAAUAUUCCUGACUCUGGCGCCAAUGAAUAUUUAACUACGAAUAUUUCCAACUCUGGCGUUGGUAAAUAUUACGUAGCUAUAAAAAUAAAUUUAAAUCAGUAUUAUUUUUUUAUUCCCGACUCUGGCGCCAUUGAAUAAAUAAAUAAUAAUACAUUUAUUUUUUUAUGCACAUAUUUUAUUUUUUCUAGCUAAAUAAAAUUGAAUAAACGAAUAAAAAUAAUAUAAAUUAAACCGGUAUUUUUAUUCCUAACUCUGCGUUAGUGAAUAAACCAAUAAAUUUAUAUUAUUUUUAUUUAUGCACACAUUUUUUUUUAUUUUUUUAUUUUUUUCUCUGCCUCUUUUUUUUAUUUUUUUGUUUUUUUUUUUGGCUGGGCCGGGCUAGACCCAGCCCAGCAUAUGAUUUUGGGCUGGGCCCAGCCCAGCCCACAUGUGGCUGGGCUGGACCCAGCCAGCCCGGCCAGGUCACUGGCCCAAGCCAGUGGCCUGGCUGGGCAAAACAAAAAAAAAAGUAAAGGCACGCGUGACUUGUUCACGCGUGCCCGAACACUGGUGAAGGUAAUUAAAUUACCUUCACACAGUUCUUGUAACCUUAAAUUGCUUUUUUAAAUGAAGAUGCAAAGGGACGAAGUCAUACCUGCUUCUGGAGACGAUGAAGAAGGCUGCGAUGCUGGUGGCUGCUGCUCUCGUUCGACUGCUUUCUCUGCUCUCCCCGCUGUGCUCACUGUCUUCCUUUUUCUUUUCUUUUUUUGCUUCCCUGGUCUGCUGGAAUUGAUGGACACGAUGACGAAGCUAUGGCUGACCGGCACUGCCUGCUCUCCUCUGCUCCUUCUUCUGCUUUCCUUUACUUUCUCUUCAGGUUCUGGAAACGCUGAAGGCAGUGGCAGCGAUCUCGUGACUUUCCUCUGCUUGUGUGUUUGGUCUGUGUGUCUCCUGGGUUUUCCAGUCGAGAGGAUGAUGAAGAGGUCGGCCUGAUGGGAACUUGUUUUUGAUUCAGGGUUUUCGUUGUUUGCAGGGACGAAGGCAAUGAGGGCCAAUACUCGUCUCUCUGUUUUGCUGUUCUCUAUGUCUCUGUGUAUUUGUUUCUGCGCCUCUCUGUUUUUUUUUAGUGCUGUGAAUUGCCUCCCCUCUGUAUUUCUACUCUGUUUGUUUUAGCUCUGGAUUUUUUUGCCUUGAUUUCUUGCUCUGGUUUCUGUAUUUGUGGGUUGGGUCCUCCCUCCUCUGUUGCUGCCGUUUGCUCCUCUCUUAUAGAGCUCCCCCCUUCCCAGUCUUUGCAGGACUCUUCGGUAAUCCACGAACGAGAUCGUGGGCAUGAGGUGGUGCAGUGGCCUUGAGUUGCUGGAUUUUCCUUGUUCAAGCUGCCGGAUUUUUCUCUGUUGAAUCGGUCUGGUCCGUGCGAAACGGAAGGGACGAAGAACGCAGUCUUCCAAACAGCGCCGUUUGUGUGCUUGAGGCAAUUUUCACUUUGGUCCCUGGACGUUUUAAACUUUACAAUUGAGAUCUUAAUCAUGUAUAAUUGAUUUUUUUUAAUUAUGCCCUUGGAUUAAAUUCAAUUGAAUCCCUGAGUUAUAGCACCAUUUACACAACAGUCCUGAGUUUCUGGACUAUUCAAUUUGAUCC